GAAGAGAGAGUUCAAGAGUACGUGAAACCGUCUGGGAGUAAACGGGUGGUUCCCGAAAGUACGAAAGGGGAGAUUCAGGUCUCGCCGCGCGUCGGGCGGCGCCCGCGAUCAGAGAUGGUGUUCUCGCGGCCGGGGGGCGACCCUCGGUCCGGGAGCUCCACUCCGCGGGCGCCGUUCUAGCUCCCGACGCCGGAGUGACGCACUUCUCCCCCAGUAGAACGUCGCGACCCGUCGGGCGCCGGCCUAAGGUCCCGGGUGGAGUCUGUGCAGCUCGCUGCGCACGACCCCGGGGAUCCCGGCCGGGUGCUCGACGGUACGAAGAGAGGAAGGAGUCGACGCGCCGCUCGUCUCGGCGUCCGGCCCUCCGCAAGCGCCCGCGGGAGUGCGAGACUCCGGGCCCGGCCCGGUCUCGCUCCCUCCGCGGGGCUGUUUGCGAUCANGANGUGCCCUCGGAC
rnacentral:rRNA from 1 species